rnacentral:rRNA from 1 species
GACGAACGCUGGCGGCGUGCCUAACACAUGCAAGUCGAGCGGGAUCCAUCUGGUGGCAACACCGGGGAAGAUCUAGCGGCGAACGGGUGAGUAACACGUGAGAAACCUGCCCCGAACUUCGGGAUAACACGGGGAAACCCGUGCUAAUACCGAAUACCCUCUACCGGUCGCAUGGCCGGAAGCGGAAAGAUUCAUCGGUUCGGGAGGGUCUCGCGGCCUAUCAGCUAGUUGGCGGGGUAACGGCCCACCAAGGCAUCGACGGGUAGCUGGUCUGAGAGGACGAUCAGCCACACUGGGACUGAGACACGGCCCAGACUCCUACGGGAGGCAGCAGUGGGGAAUCUUGCGCAAUGGGCGAAAGCCUGACGCAGCAACGCCGCGUGCGGGAUGAAGGCCUUCGGGUUGUAAACCGCUUUCAGCAGGGAAGAAAAUGACGGUACCUGCAGAAGAAGCCCCGGCCAACUACGUGCCAGCAGCCGCUGUAACAC